UACGAAGGGUGCAAGCGUUACUCGGAAUUACUGGGCGUAAAGCGUGCGUAGGUGGUGAGUUAAGUCUGUCGUGAAAGCCCCGGGCUCAACCUGGGAAUGGCGAUGGAUACUGGCUCGCUAGAGUGCGGUAGAGGAGAGUGGAAUUCCCGGUGUAGCAGUGAAAUGCGUAGAGAUCGGGAGGAACAUCAGUGGCGAAGGCGGCUCUCUGGACCAGCACUGACACUGAGGCGCGAAAGCGUGGGGAGCAAACAGG
rnacentral:rRNA from 1 species